rnacentral:sRNA from 1 species
GUCCACUCAGCGGCGGACCAGAGCCAGAAGCCCAUAAUGGCUAAGGCAGCAGCCGGCCGAUAUCGCGUCGUCAUGACGGUCAGGCCGGCUG